UACGUAGGGCUCAAGCGUUAUCCGGAUUUAUUGGGCGUAAAGAGUGCGUAGGUGGUUCAAAAAGUUUCUAGUAAAAGGCUUGGGCUUAACCUAAGUUCUGCUAGAAAGCCUUUUGGGCUUGAGGCCAGAAGAGGCAAGUGGAAUUUUCGGUGGAGGAGUGAAAUCCGUUGAUAUCGAAAAGAACACCAAUGGCGAAGGCAGCUUGCUAGUCUGGUUCUGACACUGAGGCACGAAAGCGUGGGGAGCGAAAGGG
rnacentral:rRNA from 1 species